rnacentral:rRNA from 1 species
UCUGGGACAAGCCCUGGAAACGGGGUCUAAUACCGGAUACCACUCCUGCCCGCAUGGGUAGGGGUUGAAAGCUCCGGCGGUGAAGGAUGAGCCCGCGGCCUAUCAGCUUGUUGGUGGGGUAAUGGCCCACCAAGGCGACGACGGGUAGCCGGCCUGAGAGGGCGACCGGCCACACUGGGACUGAGACACGGCCCAGACUCCUACGGGAGGCAGCAGUGGGGAAUAUUGCACAAUGGGCGAAAGCCUGAUGCAGCGACGCCGCGUGAGGGAUGACGGCCUUCGGGUUGUAAACCUCUUUCAGCAGGGAAGAAGCGAAAGUGACGGUACCUGCAGAAGAAGCGCCGGCUAACUACGUGCCAGCAGCCGCGGUAAUACGUAGGGCGCAAGCGUUGUCCGGAAUUAUUGGGCGUAAAGAGCUCGUAGGCGGCUUGUCACGUCGGAUGUGAAAGCCCGAGGCUUAACCUCGGGUCUGCAUUCGAUACGGGCUAGCUAGAGUGUGGUAGGGGAGAUCGGAAUUCCUGGUGUAGCGGUGAAAUGCGCAGAUAUCAGGAGGAACACCGGUGGCGAAGGCGGAUCUCUGGGCCAUUACUGACGCUGAGGAGCGAAAGCGUGGGGAGCGAACAGGAUUAGAUACCCUGGUAGUCCACGCCGUAAACGUUGGGAACUAGGUGUUGGCGACAUUCCACGUCGUCGGUGCCGCAGCUAACGCAUUAAGUUCCCCGCCUGG